AUGGGAGAAUCGUCGAAAAGAACUGGCCCUAUAUACCUGCGGCCUGAGGCCGAAGGCUGCACGCUUCACAUUCACUCGAUAGUUCUUUUAACGAUGGCGUUCUCGGCGGAUCCGACCGCACAGCCCUACGUCGUUGAGGAUUGCCGCGGGGUGCUGCAGCUUCUCAGCGACGGCACAGUCGUGCGCUCUGCGGCCUUGCCCUUCCCUGUCGACGGCAACGUCGCAUAUAACGACCACGGCCGUGUCGAGUGGAAGGACGCCGUGUACGACGCCGGCCUCGGCCUCGGCCUUCGCAUGUACAAGCCGACGACGAACGCCAGAGAGGAGGGCAAGAAGCUCCCCGUGCUCGUCUACUUCCACGGCGGGGGCUUCUGCAUUGGCUCCUGCACGUGGCCCAACUUCCACGCCGCCUGCCUCCGCCUCGCCGCCGAGCUCCCCGCCGUUGUACUCUCCUUCGACUACCGCCUCGCCCCCGAGCACCGCCUUCCCGCUGCCCACGAGGACGCCGCAGCGGCCCUCCUCUGGCUACAGAACCAGCUCGCUUCGGACCCGUGGCUCGCCGACGCGGCCGACCCACGCAGGGUGUUCGUCUCCGGCGAGUCUGCCGGUGGCAACAUCGCGCACCACCUUGCCCUCCGGUUCGGCAGGGCAGGACUGGACCCAAUGAGGAUCGAGGGGUACAUCCUGCUCAUGCCGGCAUUCUGCUCGGAGCAGCCGACGCAGUCCGAGCUUGACUCACCGGCGACGGCGUUCCUGACGAGGGAAACCUGCGACAGGUACUGCCGCCUCUUCCUGCCCGCCGGAGCGAACGAGGACCACCCGCUGGUGAACCCGCUCGGGCCGGACAGCCCAGGCCUUGAGGCGUUGGACGUCGGCCGCGUGCUCGUCGUGGCCGCGGAGGGCGACCUGCUGAGGGACAAGAACGUGGAGUACGCGGAGCGGCUGAGGGCGGCGCGGGGGAAGGAGAAGGAUGACGUCGAGCUCGUCGUGUUCGCCGGCGAGGAGCACGCGUUCUUCGGGGUGAAGCCGACGUCAGCGGCCACCGGCGACCUCGUCCGGGUCAUCAGGCGGUUCAUGGCCACGGAGAGGGAAGCAGCCUGCUGA
rnacentral:rRNA from 1 species